AUUGAACGCUGGCGGCAUGCUUUACACAUGCAAGUCGAACGGCAGCGCGGGGCAACCUGGCGGCGAGUGGCGAACGGGUGAGUAAUAUAUCGGAACGUACUCAGAAGUGGGGGAUAACGUAGCGAAAGUUACGCUAAUACCGCAUACGAUCUACGGAUGAAAGUAGGGGACCGCAAGGCCUUAUGCUUUUGGAGCGGCCGAUAUCUGAUUAGCUAGUUGGUGAGGUAAAGGCUCACCAAGGCGACGAUCAGUAGCUGGUCUGAGAGGACGACCAGCCACACUGGAACUGAGACACGGUCCAGACUCCUACGGGAGGCAGCAGUGGGGAAUUUUGGACAAUGGGCGCAAGCCUGAUCCAGCAAUGCCGCGUGAGUGAAGAAGGCCUUCGGGUUGUAAAGCUCUUUUGUCAGGGAAGAAACGGUAGAGGCUAAUAUCCUUUGCUAAUGACGGUACCUGAAGAAUAAGCACCGGCUAACUACGUG
rnacentral:rRNA from 1 species